CCUCAGCCCCAGAGCCUGGGAAUCCACCCUCAGAGUUUCCUGCCCAGAACAGCAACUGGCCCCAUCUGGAGCGGGCUCUGACGUUGCAAGAAGCAAACCCUGAAGCCCAGAGGAGGAAAGGAGCAGCUUGGAAAAGGAGAGCCCUCCAUAAAUGAAAGUCACCAAGUUAGUCAUCUCUGAGCAGCCCAGCCUGGCUUUAAGUGGCGAUGCUAGUUCUCAGACUGCAGUCUGCCCUGUGUCGAGAUUUCACUGUUUCCCGUCUGUUUUCCUCGUUCAUUCGUUCCUACAGCAUUUGCUCCAGGAAAUUAAAGCCCUGAUCUCCAGCGUGACGGCUGGAGACGGUGCCUUUGGGAGGAAGCAAGGUUUGGAUGAGCUAAUAAGGACAGAGCCCUCGAAGCGCCAUUAUAAGAGGCCCUGGAAAACUUUCUCACUCCCCUUUUUGCACCAUGGAAGGAUAUAACAAGAAGGCAGCCACCUGCAAGCUAGAGAGAGAGCCCUCGCAGCAGCAGACCGCACCUGCACCUGGACCUAGAAUGCUCAGCAUCCGGAACCGUGAGAGGGUCAUCCCUGCUCUUUAAAGCAUGCAGCCUGUGGUAUUUCAUUACAGCGGUCCGAGCAGACGAAUACAACCACCCGGAAUUAACAGUGAGAUUAACCGAAGAAACACUCGCCAUUAAUGUAUGUAAAGGCACCUACUUUGAAGGAUUUAUAGCGCUCAUCAUUCAGUACAGCAUUCACUUCAGAACUCUCUCCAUCUUCAAUAAUCUCCUAUACGAAAGGUCGGUGAACAAUUCAGAUUAGUGGUGGUGGACAAUCCCAGUCUGAGAAGCUCAGCUCACAGACCUCCUAACCUGACUUCUCAUGAAACACAUAUCCAUUGUGCAGGGUGUUCUCUCGGAUGAUCUGGAGGGAACAAGACACUUCCCUGUAACCCUGAAAACCCUGACCCAGCAUGUACCCAAGAGCCUUACAGUCCUCAGGGACAAGGGAAUGAUUGGCGGCCAGAUCUGUGGAACCCCAAGCCCAAAUACGCAUCAUUGAU